UUCCAUGGUCAAGUGUGAGGACCAAUUAUGCACUGGGAAUUGUGACUCUUUUUCCAUACCUCCAAGAUCCUUUCUCCAAACAUGGAUAUGAACACUACUAUGAUCCUUUAGGGUAAUACUGGCUUCAUUGCAUGGAGGAUCAAGACAGUUCAACAUAACACCUGUGCUGGCUCCCGGUGUCAUUCCAAGACUGUUCUUCAGGAUGGUCCAAAAAACAGACAAGAAUCUCUGUUAACUUGUCAACAGCGAUUUGGUGAGGAGUGCAGGGAGGCGAUAUCUACAAUACGAUAUUCCACUGAUGAGAAGAUGAGCGACUUUCCAGUAUUGACAGAAGAUGGUGGGUGAGGAUGCAUCAUCUUCUGUCCUGGAUUUGUUCACUUGUUUCCUUGCUGUAUCUGGAUUGAUCGACCACGAUUUCUCCAUGAUGUUUGGUGACGAAGUGUCUCAGAAGUUCCUGGCAAAGUGGUCAACAUUCUUCAAGCCAAAAAUCAUUGCAGACUGCAAGACUCUUAAGAAUAUGGGCGAGCUGCUGUCAGGAACUGAACCUGAAUCUGAGGACUACAAUGGAUGGGACAGCGAUAUGUCCUCAAUCCUUUUGCAGCUGCAUCUGCUCCCUCUAACCUCAAGAGGCCAGAAAAAAAAUAUCCAAGAUCAGUUCAGCUCAAGCAACCAGCCAUCUUGUGAGCUACCUUAAGGAAGGAGCCAGUGUGACUACCUUCAUUGAGAGUGCUGACACAAGACAACCAUUUCUCCUCUGCAUCGGUGAGCGAAAGAAGGAUAUCCAAAAGUUCUACAUUAUUAUCGACCAAAAGGCGAUCCCAUGUAAGGCGCACACAUCAGUGGCAGCUUUUGAUGAACUGUUCAAAGCUCACUAUGUCUUCAGUUUCUGAUAUGAUGAAGCUCUUUGUGAUUUCUACACAUUUAUCCAAACCACUAUAUAUAACAUCGAUGUCGGAAGAGCAAUGGAGAGCCUGCGUGUUAAAGAACUUUGAGCACGAUUGCUGCAGCGAGAUUAACUGCCUUGAAGAUGUUCACAUGUUUUGUAUGUAAAGCACACCUCAGAACUUGUUUGGUUCUUCGUCAACAUUUAAAAUUUCAACAUGGUUUAUAUCCUAGCAAAAAGUUACAUUUAAAAUGUGGAGAGCCAGGUCGCCUGUUAUCAUUUUGUACUUAUAGUGGCUUCCGAAAACACCUCAGCAAGGUACAUAGUCACACUAUGGAUCAGGAGUUUGAUACUAAUCAGGAUCUUUCCACUCAGGGAGAAUAUGAGGCGGAAUGUUCAAAUGAUCGCCCAAGUUUACAAAGUUGGAGUUUACAAAGACAUUAAUGAUGGGUCGUGUUUCCAAAACCAUGCACUGUUCUCACAGCAAAAGCACGCUUUUCAGAUUCUAUUCUAUUACAACGAUUUUGAAACUGCUAACCCUCUAGGUUCCAAGAGGGGGAUCCACAAACUUGGUUGAAUCUAUUUUACUCUAAAAAAUCUUCCACGCAAGUGUAACUCUGUACUGAUUAAUGUACAUCUUGCAGCUUGAUUCUACACGGAAGAUCUUAAGACAUAUGGUUUUGAUGUGAUAAUAAAGCCCCUUAUUGAUGACCUGAAAAUCUUAGAAACCGAAGGCAUACAGCUUCCUUGUUUUGAACAACCAUUGUUUGGCUCAGUAAUUCAAGUAACAGGAAAUAAUUUGGCUUUAAAUGGCUUGCUGGGAAUCUUACAGUGCAACUAAUUUCUGUAGGCUUUGUUUAAUUAGUAAGGAAGAAGUUCAAUCUAUAUUUACUGGAGAUCAUCCUGGGUUAAUUUUUCGUUCCAAAGAGGUUCAUACUGAACAUUGUAAGGCACUAAAUGAAAAUCCUGAACUGCGGUCAAUAUAUGGUGUCAAAAAGUCAUGUGCGCUCAAUUCAUUAGAGUAUUUCCAUUGUACUGAUAACUAUGCUGUUGACAUCAUGCAUGAUCUGCUAGAGGGUGUGGUACAGUAUGAACUUAAACUGGUUUUUGAGUACCUUGUUAAACAGGGUGCACAGCUUUAAUUAUGGUUACACAGACCGUAAAAACAAACCAAGUGGGUUAAAAAUGGAUGAUAAGGGCAAACACCUGGGUUUGAAUGCCAUACAGUCAUGGUGUCUUCUGCACAACACUCCACUGAUAUUUGGUGGUCAUUGAAAGGAAUAACAAUCACUGGAACUUUCUCCUGCUUUUGAUACAGAUUGUCAAUAUAGUGUUCUCCUACACCAUAACUGAUGGGAUGAUAUGUUACUUAAAACAUCUGAUCUGUGAUCACCAUACUCUAUUCAAAGAAUUGAUUCCUGACAAGACGUCGAUUCCCAAGCACCACUUGAUGAUGCACUAUCUGAGAUGCAUAAAAAAAAAUGGCCCUCUUAUCCAUAUGUGGUGAAUGCGAUUUGAAGCUAAGCACCAUAUUUUCAAAAGAUGUGGCAAAAAUUUAAAGAAUCUCAUUAAAUCAUUAGUAAAGCAACAUCAACGUCAAUUGGCAUUUAACUGUGAAAAUGAUUGUUUUAGAAGGUUUGAAUUUGGUCCUACAUCAAAAACCAUCUGUAACUUGCAAGGUGGGGAAGAACUCAGUCAGACAUUAUAUUUAGAAGCCUGUUUGAGUGUUACAAGUACAAAGUGGGUCAGACAUUAUGGUACUGAGUAUCAGGUUGGUGUGUUCAUAUGCACUGGAUGUACUCAUUAAUAACGAAUAAUAAACAUUUCUAUAUGUUGAUAGAAAUAUAAAGCAUUUAUAUAUAUAUGUAUGUGUGUGUGUCCCCUUCUCUUAUCUAAAUAUUCAAACAGCCCAAGAAAUAAAAUUAGCUAUUUUCUGAGACGAUGAAGUGACUCUUAAAAGAGCCUUUGUGUAUAUUAGACGGAGUUGUCGUUUAAGUGCAUUCUCCGCGAAUACGGCAGGCCAGCUGAAUAUCCUUGAGAGAGAUGGAGAAAUGUGAAAAGCUAGCACUGUGGCUAUGUGUUUCGCAACCAUGAGCUGUAUUUCAACGCUUUUUGGCCACAGCAUGCUGCCUCACAAACGUCCCAAUUCAUGCCCCCCUUUUCCACAGUCGUUGUGUAUAUCCAGGUAAGGAUAAAAGUUACAUUUCCAUCCAUCCAUCUUCUAUACCGCGUAAUCCUUCUCAGGGUCACGGGUAAAAGCUACA